AUGCGGCGGGGUCGGGGCGCGGGGCUGGCGGCGCUGGCCGCGGUGCUGCUCGUGGCUGUGGCCAGAGCUCAGGUACAGCAGGACCCAUUCCUGGAGACCAACGAGGGUACCGAAAUCAACAUCAACUGCUCACAUCCCAAAAUCCAGACCAUCGAAUACAUCCACUGGUACCGUCAGCUGCCCGGCCGAGGACCCCAACCGCUUGCAGUCAUUUUGAAAAAUUCCAAAGAGCUGCCGGACAUCGGAGGAAAGCUGUGGGUGUCGGCAGACCGGAGCUGGAGCGCGCUGUGGCUCGGGCGGCCCCGGCGCGGGGACGCGGCCGUGUAUUACUGCGCGCUGGGGCCACGGGCAGAGGAGCCGGGGCUGCGGCCGGGCACGAACCGCCGCGGGCGGGGCCGGGCGGGGCCGGCAGGGGCCGCUCCUCUCCCGGCUGACGCUGCUGCGCGGCACCGGCACCGAGCCGCGUCUUGA